rnacentral:rRNA from 1 species
UACGUGGGGUGCAAGCGUUAAUCGGAAUUACUGGGCGUAAAGCGUGCGCAGGCGGUUCGCUAAGACCGAUGUGAAAGCCCCGGGCUCAACCUGGGAAUGGCAAUGGAAACUGGCGGGCUGGAGUAUGGCAGAGGGGGGUGGAAUUCCGCGUGUAGCAGUGAAAUGCGUAGAGAUGCGGAGGAACACCGAUGGCGAAGGCAGCCCCCUGGGCCAAUACUGACGCUCAGGCACGAAAGCGUGGGGAGCAAACAGG